GCGACUUUAGCUCAGUUGGGAGAGCGUCAGACUGAAGUCCUCAACUCAGUCACUAAAUCUGAAGGUCUUGUGUUCAAUCCACAAAAGUCGCA